GGCUCGUUAGCUCAGUUGGUUAGAGCAUCAGACUUUUAUUGUUGGAGGUCGUGGGUUCAAUUCCCACACGAGCCC